GGAUGUUGCAAAGGAGCAUGCGCGGGUCCAGUGGGCGCGUAUUUCCCGCGGUUUUUGGCGCUCUGCAGAAAUGCAGGAACCGUUAAAGGGCUGUGGCUCUCUUGCCAAGCAUCUAGGUGAGACAGCUACAGGAGCCCUGAGAGAACAAAACAUUGGCAAUGCAAGUAGACAGAAGGGAGUCAGCCCGUAUUCAACUUCUGCGUAUCCAGCUGUCUCUGCCUACCGACCCCAACUUGCUGAACCUGCUACUGAGGUUUCUCCAUUCUGCCACCCACUACGUAGUAACUGCCUCUUUUCCCCUCAACCAGACUGUCCUUUUGUGACAUCACAGGAAGUUUGUAGCCCGUGGCAACUGCUUAGGGAUGCAUCUGCACAGCCUCCCAUCCUGGUACUGGAAAGGGGAAUGCCAUGAACGUUACUUAGAUGUAUUUAGAAAUACCUUGAUUUAGAAGUAGAAGAUGGCUUGCUUAAACUCUGCUGUCUCCUUCAUUGCUGCUUUCGGGAAAAGCCUCGUCAGCUUGUGACAUCCAUGAAAGGCAAACACAGAUACGGUGAGGGGAAUGGCCCUCAUUCAACAGUUAUCAUCCAGCCACCUCCACUGGCCAGCCUGCCAACCUCCGCUGGCUUCCACCCAUGAAUAUCCAGUGGUUCAUUCGCCCAGAGCCUGGAGGGCAGCCUACACCGCUGUCUGAACAUGCAAGUCCCAGUCAUAAUGUGUCUGGUGGGUGACCCUAUGUUCACACUCUCCAUUCAUACUUACCCCAGCAUCAAUCCACAAAUAUCCACACAGCUUUUGUCAAUGGCCUUCUGAAGGUGAAUUUCAACCAGCUUACGUGCACAAACUUCGUCCUCCUUCAGCCCUGCGGUUUCCUGGGCUCCCACAUGCUAAUCACAGCUUCUGCCAGGUCCGUCGCCAGCUUCUACCAUGGAUAUCUGCCGCUUUCAAGCCGCAGUCCUGCUCAGCAGGUAAACUUGCCUUCUCGUUGCUCCACAGCAUCUCAUUGAUGGAUGAUGGCCUCCUUCCAUUUGCCACUUCGCCUCCAUGCGGAAGGAGACCACCAAGUACUGAAUAACACAACUGUUGUCCACUGUGUCCUUUUCAAGCUUUGCCUUGGGCUUUCCCCUUGGGCUGCUUUUGUAUAUCCACUGAGAUGCUAUGUGCUUGUGUGACAUCACAGGGCGUCCACAGCCAAUAACAGCAGCUAGAGGGGCAUCAUCAUGACCUCCUCAGGCCUCACAAUGGUGGGCGCAGCUCAACAGCCAUUUCCCCUUUGCUUGUUUGCUAUGUACAGCUCACUCCUUUUCUGUAAUGACACCAGAGAAAGGCAUGCCAUAAACCCACCUUCCUAUUUUGACUCUCUGGCACCCUAUCUGCAUAACCUAGCAAUUCCAAAACAUAGACGCGCUUUUACUCUCGCAAGAUUGAAUGGUUUGCCUUCGGCUGGACUUGAGGGAUGAUUCCAACAGAUUCCAUAUGAUAAAUGCUUAUGUCCCUGUGGAGAUGGCAGUCCUGAAUCGGUGGCACAUGCCCUUCUGGCUUGCACUCUUUGUAAAGACUUGAGGAAUGAGGUCACCAUCUCUCUCUUAUGGUCCAUUCCAGGUCGCCCAACCACUGCCACACUGUCUAUUCCAUUGGCAGAUCAAUAUGAGCAGGUGACAGCAAAGGUUGCAAGGUUUUUAGCUGAGGCAAUCAGAAUAAGAUCCACUACAGCAGGCACGUCCAACAGGUAGAUUGUGAUCUACCGGUAGAUCACUGGACACCUGUGGUAGAUCACUGGCUCCCCCCAAAGAAGCUCAACAACUUUGGCUCCCCUAAAGAAAAGCUCAACACUUUUGCCCUGCACCCUCCAAAAUGUGGCUUUCCUCCUCUCUAAAAAGCUCAACAACUUUGACCUGAACCCAAAAAACCAGGGCUUUCCUUCCUAAAAAAAAGCUCAACAACCUUGACCUGAACCCCAAAGGGGGGGGGGGUAGAUCACUGCCAGUUUUUAACUCUGUGAGUAGAUCGCAGUCUCUUAGGAGUUGGCAACCCCUGCACUACAGUAUUUGACUAUUGAUUCAAAACCCUAAAAUGUAUUUUAUAUAAUUGCCUUUUUAUUUAUGUUGUGUAUAUUGCAAUGUUAUUUUGUUGCUAUGGCCUAUGGCUGACGCAAAUAAAGUUUAUUCAUUCAAUCAAUCAAUCAAUCCAUAGCGGGGGGUCAUUUUUCAUCCUGAUGGCUGCAUUCCUUUGGGUCAGAUUUUCCAUGUAUGGGAGCCAACUCCUAAGGGCCAAAAAAUACUGCCCCCC